AUUGAACGCUGGCGGCAGGCCUAACACAUGCAAGUCGAACGAGUAGCGGACGGGUGAGUAAUGUCUGGGAAACUGCCUGAUGGAGGGGGAUAACUACUGGAAACGUUAGCUACUACUGCAUACCAUCAGAUGUGCCCAGAUGGGAUUAGCUUGUUGGUGUGGUAACGGCUCACCAAGGCGACGAUCCCUAGCUGGUCUGAGAGGAUGACCAGCCACACUGGAACUGAGACACGGUCCAGACUCCUACGGGAGGCAGCAGUGGGGAAUAUUGCACAAUGGGCGAAAGCCUGAUGGAGCCAGGCCGCGUGUAUGAAGAAGGCCUUCGGGUUGUAAAGCACUUUCAGCGGGGAGGCGUUACCCGAAGAAGAAGCAACGGCUAACUCCGUGCCAGCAGCCGCGGUAAUUC
rnacentral:rRNA from 1 species